rnacentral:rRNA from 1 species
GAUUUUAAAAUAUUAUUUUGUUUAACUAUUAUUUUAUUUGUUUAAUUAAAUUAAUUUUUAUUGGUAUUGUUUAAGUAUUUUUUAGAAUAGAUUCUUGUAAUUAUAGUUUAUUAGUAAUGUAAAUGAAUUUAUUGAAUUUUGAUUAGUUAAUAAGUACUUUUUUAGGGUACCUUUUGUAUCAGGGUUGAUAAAUAUUAUUUUGUUGAUUAUAUUUCUCUCGAUUUAGGUUGAUUUAAAAUCAUAUUAUUUUUAUCGUAUUAUAGAUAUUUUAAAUUUGGUUUUAGAAGUGAAAUGUUAACCGUUUCCUAAUAUAUCUAGUUCCUCAAGUAAAGAUUUAAUUUUAUAAGGUUAUUGAUUAUUUAUUAAUUUUAAUUUUUAAUUAGUUUCCUGUUAAUACUUUAGGGGAUAAGCUCUUUAGUGAUUUUAUUCUAUAAUUUUAUUAUUUUUAUUUAAAAGUAGGCUUUAAACUGGCUAUCUUUUUGAUUACGUUUUAGUUCAUUUUAUUUUUUUUUAUGAUUUUAUAAAUUUUUUAGGUUUUAUAUUGGGGUAAUUAAAUUGAUUUUAAAUUUAUUGUAAUAAUGAUUGAAUUAGUAUAUUUAAUUGUAUGAAUUUUUUAUGAUUUUAUUUUAAUUUAAGGAAUUAGGCAAAAUUACUCUUCGCCUGUUUAUCAAAAACAUGUCUUUUUGAUUAAAAUUUAAGGUUUGACCUGCUCACUGAAUUAUUUGAAGAGCCGCGGUAUUAUGACCGUGCAAAGGUAGCAUAAUCAUUAGUCUUUUAAUUUGAGGCUGGAAUGAAUGGUUUGACGAGGGGGUGACUGUCUCAAUUUUAAUUGAUAAAAUUUAACCUUUAAGUUAAAAGGCUUAAAUUUGAUUUUAGGACGAAAAGACCCUAUAGAGCUUUAUAUAUCAUUUAUAAUUGAUUUACUGUUAUUUUAUUUCGUUUAUUAAGACUAUAUUUUGUUGGGGUGACAUGAAGAAUAAUUAAACUCUUUAUUUUUAAUAUCAUUUAUUUAUGAUUGCUUGAUCCAUAAUUUGUGAUUAUAAGACUAAGUUACCUUAGGGAUAACAGCGUAAUUGUUUUUUAGAGUUCAUAUCAACAAGACUGAUUGCGACCUCGAUGUUGGAUUAAGAUUAGUACUAGGUGUAUCAGUUUAGUAGCUAGGUCUGUUCGACCUUUAAAUUCUUACAUGAUCUGAGUUCAAACCGGCGUAAGCCAGGUUGGUUUCUAUCCUAAAUUUUCAAAUAUUGUAUUAGUACGAGAGGACCGUAUAAUUUGAAAAUCUUCUUUGUUUAUGAUUAUUAAUAAUUU